CUAUUCAUCGAUUUGACCGGCGGC
rnacentral:siRNA from 1 species